UACGUAGGUGGCAAGCGCUGUCCGGAAUUAUUGGGCGUAAAGCGCGCGCAGGCGGUCCUUUAAGUCUGAUGUGAAAGCCCACGGCUCAACCGUGGAGGGUCAUUGGAAACUGGGGGACUUGAGUGCAGAAGAGGAAAGCGGAAUUCCACGUGUAGCGGUGAAAUGCGUAGAUAUCGGGAGGAACACCUGAGGCGAAGGCGGGCUACUGGGCCGAUACUGACGCUGAUGCGCGAAAGCCAGGGGAGCGAACGGG
rnacentral:rRNA from 1 species